GAAAUGCGAUACGUAAUGCGAAUUGCAGGACCUCGUGAAUCAUCAAAAUUUUGAACGCACAUUGUGCUUCCAGGAAAUGCCUGGUUGCAUGCAAGACUGAGUGUCCUUGUACCCCACUUGACUGUUAAUUUUGUUAACAUGUCAGAAUAUGAUACUGCUUUUGGUAACAAGAGCUGUGUUUAAAUUUUACGCUUUCUAACCUUCACGGGUUUCAAGAAAUGUGUACGUAACACCUCCUAUGGUGUAACGUCUCUUCUUGUGCUUGUACAGAAUGGUCGAAACCUGGUAGUAUGUACGUAAAGUAUAUUUAUAUCGGUAGGUACUAUUUUUGUGUUUGCUUUUAAAGAAGGGAUUUACAUCAAUGUGAGAAGAGUCGACGUUACUUUGUAACUCCUCUACCUAUUCUAUUACUGGAUCUCAGCUUUGUAAGACUACUCGGUGAAUUUAAGCAUAUAACUAACCGAAGGAAAAGAAACUAACUAGAAUUCCCCU
rnacentral:rRNA from 1 species